ACCCCUUCUCAUUUUUAUCCUUCAUAUCACUUUUGGGCUUCAACGAAGAUGAUUCACAGUGUGGUUUCAAACUAGAGUACCAUAUUCAGGCGUAGAUCUUAUUCAGUCAUGGCUCUGGACUGUUACCCAGUCAGAAGUCGAUAGAAAUUUCUGACAUUUUAAAUCAAACGUGUGAUGUGGUUAAACGUCUUGAAACAGAAUGGUCCCGUACUAAGUAUGUAUGCUUGCUGAGGAGAUAAAUUCUUUGUCAUAUCUCUUCAUCACUCCAUGUUCUUAUGCACUGGUUUUUGUAUUUUUAAGCUGUUUUUUUGGGGUUUCAGUCCCCUUUUCGAUAGGUCCAUCUACUGCAGGUCUUGUGUAACUGGAAAACUGCAUUGCCAUCUGCAUUCCUUGGAUACACUUCUAGAAUAAAAGUUGGUUUUACAUUUGCCAUAAAUGUUGCGUAAUGCAGUUAUACCAAUGACUUGUCAGCAUUAAGUGUUAACUAACAUCUUUUUCAUUUCAGAUUCAUUCUUAAAAUUCGGUAAAAAAAAAAAAGAUUAAGGAAAAGUAUUUUGUAUCCAAAAAGAUGUACCAAAAGAGUUUCGCAGUUGUGAAUGUAUGGGCUUUUUACGAAGUUAUCAUUAACCUGUAGAACCGUCAGAGAAUAUAAACACUAUACAUGAUUACAGAUAUUAACAUAGCAAAGGUAUCCUAGUAUCAUGGCAUGGCAUUGCAUACAUCAUGUUGCAGUAUUUCUUACAACAAUCAGAUGGGUUUCACGUGUCUUAGCAUCUCCUUAGUAACAACCUAAGUUAUAUAUCUUUGUCUCUGCUUAUUAUUUUAAUUCAUGAUAGUGAAGUUGAAUGAUAUAUUCUAAGUAUGAUUUUGUUUCUGAAUCUCACAUAAAUUCAACUCUUUCUCAAACUUGGGUUUUUGUCGGAUUUCAGUUUAAGUUUGUAGAACUAGAUUCAGAUUCAUCAUUGUUGGGUUUUGGUUUGUUAGCGCAAACCUGGCGAUUGUGAGCUCCUGGAUGAAUAUAUUUGAACAUGACCUCUUCUAAAGAGAGGGACAGAUCCUUCAUCUUUAGGAUCAGAGUUCAGGUAUAGAGCUUGCUUGAGAACUAUAAAGUUGCACAGAUUAUAGAUUUGAUCAGAGUUCAACGUAAUCGGCUACUGACAAAAGAGUCUGAAUCUAUGAAUCUAUGAAUCAAGCCAGUAAACUACAAUCGUAAAUGUUGAUUUUUUUUGUUUGUAGUUGAUGUAGAAACCAGAUAAACAAGUUAAACAAGUAAGGGUUUGUGUGUUUUGCUGGUUGUUAUAAUAACAUAUUUGAUCUUUAAGAAGGGAUAUGAGUAUAAGAUUGUUAUAACAUGUUUCGCUGGUUACUAUAACAUGUUUCGGUUGAUAGCAUUUGGUUAUUCGACAAUGUUUUAUAGAUUGAUUGAUGUGAUUUUGCUUAUGUACACUUUGGAUUUUUUUAAUUUGAAUUCUAGAAUGAUAUUGUAUCUGUCUUUGUCAUAUUAGUAGAAAUAAGUAUUCUCUCAAGUAUCAUUUAGAAGUACACCUAAUAAACAAGUCAUAUGUACUUUAGUGUCUACAUGGGGAGGAAUCCACCACAUCAUCACAAGUGGUGCUGGAACAUGUAGAAGAAAAUGUGGAUGUUGAUAAUGUAUAUGUAGAAAAUUUAGAGGAGGAAAUUUCUGUUGAGGAACAUGUAUAAGAGAACAUUAGCUAUGAACAAUGUAGGUUAGGAGAUUUUGUCGAUAAUGCCUAUUGAGUAUUUGAAGGGUUAAAUAAGGAUGUAAAUGAAGGUAGUAAGCGAAAAAGGGGUACCACCGUCAACAACAAAGAAGUGGUUAUACGGGCAUUUAAGAUGUGAUGGGACUGUCCAUCCUAGUGCACUUGAAUAGUGGCAAAGUAUCAAGGGCUCUAGAGAGGAACAAAGGAAAAGGAGAUCAGUCAAGUUCUAGUAAUGUGGUUUCAGCUGAAUUAGAGGAGGUGUUUGGAAGAAAACAAGGUGGUGGGAUUCGUGGAUACUCAUCCCAUAUGUCGAAGAAGCAAGUUGGAAUGGAAGCAAUUGCAUAUUAUAAUGUCCGGCUCACAAGGACCCUGCCAAGAACAGCUAAUAACUUCUGGAAAAACAAAAAAAAAAUUUAUCCUCCAUCUCUGCGUAAACGAUCUAGCAUUAAUAUUCUCAACCUCCUGAUGACUAGUGUCUGACAUUUUAAAUCUAACAUCCUGGACAAUGAGAAAACUCACAGCAUCAGCAGAAGCAAAUUGAGAUCUAAAUAAUCUAUUGUUUCUUUCUCUCCACGUAUGAUAGAUAUAACUAUUGAGUAACAACUUCUUAACUGUAGAAACAUAGCUUCUCCCUUUAAAAGCAUUAAUGCACCAGGCUACUUCUU